rnacentral:lncRNA from 1 species
UACAUGUGGUAUUUGGUAAAACUAACGAAUCUUCCUUGAGAAAGGAAAAUACUAUUGAUAAUGAUGCAGAGAUUCUUGAAAAUGGAAUAAGAGAACUCAACUUGAAGGAGAAGUCAAGUCAAGAAAAGAAAGAAGAAAAAGGUAAAGAGCAAGAAAAAGAUUCAGAAGAAAACAUCAAUAAGAUGCAAGAUCAUUUGCCCAA